AGUGAACGCUGGCGGUAGGCCUAACACAUGCAAGUCGAACGGCAGCACAGUAAGAGCUUGCUCUUACGGGUGGCGAGUGGCGGACGGGUGAGGAAUACAUCGGAAUCUACUUUUUCGUGGGGGAUAACGUAGGGAAACUUACGCUAAUACCGCAUACGACCUACGGGUGAAAGCAGGGGAUCUUCGGACCUUGCGCGAUUGAAUGAGCCGAUGUCGGAUUAGCUAGUUGGCGGGGUAAAGGCCCACCAAGGCGACGAUCCGUAGCUGGUCUGAGAGGAUGGUCCGCCACACUGGAACUGAGACUCGGUCCAGACUCCUACGGGAGGCAGCAGUGGGGAAUAUUGGACGAUGGGCGCAAGCCUGAUCCAGCCAUACCGCGUGGGUGAAGAAGGCCUUCGGGUUGUAAAGCCCUUUUGUUGGGAAAGAAAAGCAGCAGGUUAAUACCCCGCUGUUCUGACGGUACCCAAAGAAUAAGCACCGGCUAACUUCGUG
rnacentral:rRNA from 1 species